AGGUACCGUCAAGCGGAAAGAGUAUUAAUCAAUCCGUAUUUCGUCCCUCUUGACAGGGUUUUACGAUCCGAAGACCUUCCUCACCCACGCGGCGUCGCUCCGUCAGGGUUUCCCCCAUUGCGGAAGCUUCUCG
rnacentral:rRNA from 1 species